rnacentral:rRNA from 1 species
UACGAAGGGGGCGAGCGUUGUUCGGAUUUACUGGGCGUAAAGGGCGCGUAGGCGGCAAAUUAAGUCAGCUGUGAAAUCUCCGAGCUUAACUCGGAACGGUCAGCUGAUACUGAUCUGCUAGAGUGCGGAAGGGGCAAUCGGAAUUCUUGGUGUAGCGGUGAAAUGCGUAGAUAUCAAGAGGAACGCCUGAGGUGAAGACGGGUUGCUGGGCCGACACUGACGCUGAGUGCGCGAAAGCCAGGGGAGCAAACGGG